rnacentral:lncRNA from 1 species
UGACCAGCGGAAAACAGAUUCAUGGUAAGUCGAAGAACAUGAGCAACAUCAGGAACAUAAUAAGGAGUGGUAAGAGUGCCUCUACUAACAACAGGAAGGGGAGUACCAUCAGCGGUGAGGACAUGAACAGGAGAAUCAAGCGAUCGAAGAGAGGACAGAGUGGAAGAAUUAGAAGUCAUAUGAAAGGAAGCUCCAGAGUCCAGAACCCAUGGGGAUGUACCUGACUGUGUAGAAGGUGGUUGCUCAGUGCGGGAAGCCUCAGUCACAUAACCAGCAGUACCCGUCGAGGAAGAACCUGAAGCAGCGAGCAGACGCUUAAGUCUCAGAAUAUCCUGCUCAGUCAGAGCGAUGGCUGAAGCUGUCGAGGUAGAUGACGAAGUCUCUGUAGAUGAUGAUCGCGCCUUGCGCAAGUGUUUCUUCUUCGUGUAGCAGUGGGACUCAAUAUGACCAUCAUAGUUGCAGUAGCCACAAUGUGGACGGGGGCGACCUAAGCCUCCAGAAGGAGUGGGCAAGAGCGGCGGAGCACUCGAGCGAGAAGGUGUCGGUGCAGCAGGUAGCGUAGAAGAAGACCGAGCAGCGAGCAGCGAGCACCGAGGGAACCUCCAGCAAACCAGCACCACGUAAGCGAGUCUCCUCAGCACGAAUCUCAGAAAGCGCCUCCAUGAGAGAGAUACGACCACGAGCAAACAACUGAGCACGUCGGGGCUCAAACUCCUUACGGAGCCGAGACAGGAACUCGUAGAC